UAAAUGUUAGAAAUACGAGCUAAUAUAAGUUCAGAAUUUGGCUGAACGUCUCUACCAACUGCCGCUAAGAGUUGACUAUUGGAACGUCUAUAAAGUGC
rnacentral:ncRNA from 2 species